GAACACACUAUCCUGAGUGAGGUAACCCAGACCCCAAAAGAUGAAUAUGGAUUUCUAAAUUAGGUUCCAUACCCACGGCAUCGUCAAAGCCACCAACUGCAGCAACCACAUUGACGAUGUUAGGAGGAGCAAGGAUGUGGUUGCUGCCCAAAUUGGAAAAACCAUGACGGGAGUAUUCGCUGCAUAGCUGGUGCCGUGAGCAGGACGUGAAGCAAGAACCCGCAUAUGAGCAUUCUGAGGGUCCAACGUGUCACCUGGGAUACAAACAAGAGCAGAUUUCUGGAUGAAACCUGG